CUGUAAUACUGCAUCAUGGGAGCUCAGGGCUUUAAGAAUAGCAUCUUUCCUAUUCACAUCAGACCAUUCAGCAUGUAAUCUUUUUAUCUCCUGCUGCAAAUACUUCUUGUGGUGCAGCUUUCUGUGAGCCCAGAGAGUAGUUCCAGCUCAGGCUAUGCUUCACAGUGCAAGAUGGAGGAGAAGAUGAGGCAGGACUUCUACAGUUGGCAUUUGCAACAUUUGCCCACCUGUGAAACACAGUGAUCUGUAAAGGGAUGGUGACAUUUCUUCAUCACCCCUGAGAUCCCAUCUUCAUCUGCUGGGUAUGUCCCACACCUCACACCUUUCCAUCUGUUGGCAUGGCUCUGUACAAAUAGCAGAUAAGACAGAGUAAUUAGGUGGAGGGGCAAGAGGAGCUCCAUGAGGGGUGAAGCUCAUAGCCCUGCAGUCCCAAACAUCAUGGGCAGGGCACAGCUGCAAAGAGGAACUGUCACCAGGCAUGGGACUGACUGCCUGUCAGUCUGCUGCAGUUGUGGAGGCCAAGAGAAGCAAAGGUCACAGGAAGCUCUACCAAGAAGCUGCCAAACAAGAAUCAGGCCCUUCUAGGGCAAAUGGUGAUAAACCAUUUGCCACCACCACUCCAGAUCUGGAUGGUCUUACAGACUCAGAAGAAUUCAGUUCACAUUUGGGUUUGCAAAGGGAGUCUGUCCAACAGGCACAGGAAUACCUUCAGGCUGAUUAUUCCUCUUCCUCACUGUAAUCAGGAGAAGGCAUCUAGCUGAUGCAGAAAAAUCAUGUUUGGUUCAGCUCACAGAGCUGUAUGAAAAAGUCUGUGCUCCCUGUAAGCCACUCAUGCACCUCAUGGCUCAGAAGAAAGACUGUGGUUCUAGCAAGAGGACCCAUCCCUUUGAACAAAUCACCUGCUGUUUUUAGCCCAGACACUGAGACAGAGAAGUACACCAAAUGAAAUAACAGAUGAAACACAGAUGUGGAAACCAAGACAACCGAGAACUGAUGGAGUUCAAAUGACAGAAAUAACCCUAACAGAUCAAUACCAGACUAGGCAGCCUGGAAGAACGUGUGGUCUCAAAUACUCGUCUAUCAGACUGAGAGCAGAAGUUACUUUCAUUUCAGAAAUGAUGAAGUCAUUCACAUGCCAGCUAUAAAACACAAAUGCCAGACCCUUGGCAUUGUGCAGCUACCUGACAAAGGCAUUAAGUUAGUUGGACUCAUUUGAAGCACAAAUCUUUUUAUAUUUUCAAAACACCAAGAGCUGUGCAAGUAUUCAGGCUGCCAUGGCAACGUGGUACAUUUGUUCCUGAGUGUCAUUUCCCAUCACAAUUGGUUGGGAUUUUUCUUCAGAACUUUGCCCAACUUCAAAACUUUGGUUGCUGAGGCAACACCUCUCUUUGAAGGGAAGUGAUUGGCUCUGCCAAUCCGUGCCAAGGCAAGGGCUCUUCUGUGGAGACCGGUGUGCUACGGCAAGGGCGGAGGCGUUAGGGAGACUACAAAGAUAUCCAGGGAAGCAGGGGCAGAGGAAGGAAGUGUGCUCAGAAGGGCAACACACACCUUCAUGUGAGGCAGGUGGGAUGGGCUCUGAGUGGGAGGCUCCAGGCUUAGUACAACGAGCUAAUGUGCCACAUUACAUCAGUGAGGAGAUUAAGUGAGAUCUCGUUGAGAAAACACUUUGCCUUUGAUAUAUCCCGUGAGGAUCUGGUGGAGAUGCAUAGUCCUCACAAGACCUCGGCAAGAAAGGAAUUUGUCACUGGGCUUGUUUGACAAAAAAAUUGAUGGAGGCAAUGAAUGAACUACUGAAGGUCAUGCAGUAAAUUAGUGGCUGAUACAGGAAUAAGCCCCUGGGGGUGUUAUGUUUCAUUUGUAAGAUCAUCAUUUCUCUGAUAUUUAACUUAUGCUUAAACAGAAAACAAUUUUCCUUCUGCAGAGAAGCGCUGCAACCCCUUUUUCUCUCACUAACAUAUUACAGUGCUCACCUCUGCUAUUUGUCAACGUAUUUGGCUGAAAAGCACUGAGCAGGGAUUACUUUCUUUCCAGAUAGCGAGGCAAGGAUCCGGACUGUCCCUGACAUCCUGCUGCAAUAAAUGUGAUUACACCAAUGAGCA
rnacentral:lncRNA from 1 species